CAGUCGCCACGGUAAUACGUAGGUGGCAAGCGUUGUCCGGAAUUAUUGGGCGUAAAGGGCUCGCAGGCGGUUUCUUAAGUCUGAUGUGAAAGCCCCCGGCUCAACCGGGGAGGGUCAUUGGAAACUGGGAAACUUGAGUGCAGAAGAGGAGAGUGGAGUUCCACGUGUAGCGGUGAAAUGCGUAGAGAUGUGGAGGAACACCAGUGGCGAAGGCGACUCUCUGGUCUGUAACUGACGCUGAGGAGCGAAAGCGUGGGGAGCGAACAGGAUUAGAUACCCCCGUAGUCCCUGUCUCUUUACC
rnacentral:rRNA from 1 species